UCAAUCUUGCUGCCGUCCGUAAAGAUUC
rnacentral:sRNA from 1 species